GGUCCUACGGGGCGCAGCAGUGGGGGAUAUUGGACAAUGGGGGAAACCCUGAUCCAGCGACGCCGCGUGAGUGAAGAAGUAUUUCGGUACGUAAAGCUCUAUCAGCAGGGAAGAAAUAAAGUCCUUCGGACUUUGGACGGUACCUGACUAAGAAGCCCCGGCUAACUACGUGCCAGCAGCCGCGGUAAUACGUAGGGGGCAAGCGUUAUCCGGAUUUACUGGGUGUAAAGGGAGCGUAGACGGCGCGGCAAGUCUGACGUGAAAGGCAGGGGCUUAACCCC
rnacentral:rRNA from 1 species